rnacentral:rRNA from 1 species
UACGAAGGGGGCUAGCGUUGCUCGGAAUUACUGGGCGUAAAGGGCGCGUAGGCGGACAGUUUAGUCAGAGGUGAAAGCCCAGGGCUCAACCCUGGAAUUGCCUUUGAUACUGACUGUCUUGAGUACGGGAGAGGUGUGUGGAACUCCGAGUGUAGAGGUGAAAUUCGUAGAUAUUCGGAAGAACACCAGUGGCGAAGGCGACACACUGGCCCGUUACUGACGCUGAGGCGCGAAAGCCAGGGG